UAUAACAAUACUUUUAUUCAUAUUAAAGUUAACAUAAGAAAUCAAGCAUGGGACAUCUAGUGUCUCACUCUUGUAAUGCUCUAAUUUAUUAAUUAGUUAUAAUAACCUAGAAAUUUUGUUUAAAAAAAUAAUAAAAUAAAAUCUAUGAUAAGUUAUUUAAUGAUAGUUUUAUAAAGUUUGGAGUAGAUUUAGCAAGAAGAAAUGGUCGUCAAGUGGAGUUCGUGUUAUCCAUCGAACUAUUUGAUUGAUUAUGAGUUCGAACCCUCUUUGUGUUUACCGGGGAGUUUUGUUUUUUGGCCUCAGAUCGUAUAAAUGUACCAUUUUACCCCUCAAAAGAAAAAGAGAAAAGAGGACGGGAUUCGCACGCGUUCUGUACUUUCAUUUUCUUCUUCGAUUUUGCUCUGGACCGUGCAGAGAACGCACAAAACCCUCGCCCUCUGUCCCUUGAUUUCUGUCUUCCUCUGCCGAUCAACCCACCGCCCACAAGUGAAGGAACUCCGUUCGCCGCUGCCGUAGCGUCUCGCUGUGAGUUUUUUCCCUUGGUUGUCGUUUGUCUGUGCCGCUGUGCUCGUGUACAUAUGCGUGUUCAAGCAUCCCUCUUCCUUCAUCUUUGUCCUUGUCCGUCCACUGCCGGUGACCAUAGAAGCACCAGAAUUUUCCUUUUCCGACAGUUGUACGACCUGUUUGGAUCGGGCUCCCUCUCCCCUGUACAGCUCUGAACUUCUCCAUCCUUUCUGCGUUGUAGAGAUCUGAGAUAGUAUUGUUAAUGAUUUACCUCCUGCUGAUAUCUGAGGGGCUCAUUGUUGAAGGGAUGAGACCUUUCGAGGAUACUUUCCUUUGAUGUAAAGGUUUAAUUAUGUGUUAUAUUUUGAAAUUAUGAUUAGGUGCUCCACAUUAAUCAUAGAUAGGAUUCUUGUCUGCAAUUUAUUUGUCUAUCUGUUGUGGAGGAGCAGAACUUCGCAUUUCUGAUUUGGGUUGUAUAUGGUUGUUGUAGA